GCCUCUGUAGCUCAGUUGGUAGAGUACGACCAUGGUAAGGUUGGGGUCAUCGGUUCAAAUCCGAUCGGAGGCU
rfam:Spirochaetaceae bacterium 4572_59 ex4572_59_scaffold_19, whole genome shotgun sequence.